CCCGCCAAUAAAUUGGCGGGCUAUUCUCGGAUGUCCCUACGGGACU
rfam:Desulfobacteraceae bacterium IS3 Ga0073107_10450, whole genome shotgun sequence.